UUCCGUAACUGACGGUACGAUGUGGGCAACCACAGGGGAGCGGAAUGGGAUAACCGAGCCGACCGUCUGGGCACACC
rnacentral:ncRNA from 1 species